CACUUUCUUGUUAACGUGUGCGUCCUGUCUUAAUCUAUGGGACGCUUUACAGUGACGAAGGGACGAGUUGAAGCCUUUGUUAACCCGUCCGCUGCGAUUGUCACGGCUUUGGCCUUCCCUGGUAGCCUGGUAACAUUAUAGUCCCAGGUCUUUCUCUGCCUCUGUGGUGGAUAGUGGAGUGUUUCCCAUGUGGUAUUGGUGUGCUGGAUAUCCCUUCACUGGUAGCCUGGUAACAUACAGUCCCAGGUCUUUCUCUGCCUCUGUGGUGGAUAGUGGAGUGUUUCCCAUGUGGUAUUGGUGUGCUGGAUAUCCCUUCACUGGUAGCCUGGUAACAUACACUCCCAGGUCUUUCUCUGCCUCUGUGGUGGAUGGUGGAGUGUUUCCCAUGUGGUAUUGGUGUGCUGGAUAUCCCUUCACUGGUAGCCUGGUAACAUACAGUCCCAGGUCUUUCUCUGCCUCUGUGGUGGAUAGUGGAGUGUUUCCCAUGUGGUAUUGGUGUGCUGGAUAUCCCUUCACUGGUAGCCUGGUAACAUACAGUCCCAGGUCUUUCUCUGCCUCUGUGGUGGAUAGUGAAGUGUUUCCCAUGUGGUAUUGGUGUGCUGGAUAUCCCUUCACUGGUAGCCUGGUAACAUACACUCCCAGGUCUUUCUCUGCCUCUGUGGUGGAUAGUGGAGUGUUUCCCAUGUGGUAUUGGUGUGCUGGAUAUCCCUUCACUGGUAGCCUGGUAACAUACACUCCCAGGUCUUUCUCUGCCUCUGUGGUGGAUAGUGGAGUGUUUCCCAUGUGAUAUUGGUGUGCUGGAUAUCCCCUCCCAAGGUGCAGGACUUCACAUUUUUCUUCAUUGAAUUGUAAUAGCCACUUUUUGCUCCAUUCCAGUAGCUUGGUGAUGUCUGACUGUAGGAUAUCAGCAUUCAAGGAGUUAAUAAGCGUCACAGCAGGAUCACUGGGUAUAUAUUUUAUUGAUUUCUUGUAUCUGUUCAUUUUCUCCCUUACGACAAAAUAUUGGCAUAGUUUUUUGUAUGUAUAGUAACUCACUCAACCGGUAUAGUAAAUAUUUGUACACACACACACACACACACACACACACACACACUCCUUAAAACCUUAAAACAUAUGCUCGUGUCUUUUCUUUCUUUAACAAUAAUAAUGAUAAUAAUAACAAUAACAACAACAACUUAGUAGUGAGUGAAAGUGUUAGUGUUAAGUUUAAUAAUAAUAAUAAUAAUAGUAAUAAUAAUAAUAAUAAUAAUAAUAAUAAUAAUAAUAAUAAUAAUAAUAAUAAUAAUAAUAAUAUACUAACAAUGUAAAUGCUAUAUAAUAUUUCACAAUAGGUUAAAAUCUGUACAUGUGUGUGUGUGUGUGUGUGUGUGUGUGUGUGUGUGUGUGUGUGUGUGUGUGUGUGUGUGUGUGUAAGGCCAUAUUCUUUGUACAGUUUGGGGUUGAUAAUGAGGAGGAGGAGGAGGAGGAGGAGGAAGAGGGGGAGGAGGAGGAGGAGGAAUGACGCAAGUGGACAGGAAGGAAAAGAAGAGAGGAAGUAAAAAAAAAAAAAGGAGGAAAAAA